GAUGAACGCUGGCGGCGUGCUUAACACAUGCAAGUCGAACGGGGAACAUUUUAAAGAAGCUUCGGCAGAUUUAGCUUGUUCCUAGUGGCGGACGGGUGAGUAACGCGUGGGUAACCUGCCUCACACUGGGGGAUAACAGUCAGAAAUGACUGCUAAUACCGCAUAAGCGCACAGAGCCGCAUGGCUCAGUGUGAAAAACUCCGGUGGUGUGAGAUGGACCCGCGUUGGAUUAGCCAGUUGGCAGGGUAACGGCCUACCAAAGCGACGAUCCAUAGCCGGCCUGAGAGGGUGGACGGCCACAWUGGGACUGAGACACGGCCCAGACUCCUACGGGAGGCAGCAGUGGGGAAUAUUGCACAAUGGGGGAAACCCUGAUGCAGCGACGCCGCGUGAAGGAAGAAGUAUCUCGGUAUGUAAACUUCUAUCAGCAGGGAAGAAAAUGACGGUACCUGA
rnacentral:rRNA from 1 species